rnacentral:lncRNA from 1 species
GGUCCACUCUACUACUCUUCGCAGCAAACUCCGCCUGAUCCUGGGCAGCCCACUGCCAGACGGUUACAGAUGUCGCUGUCAGGCUACUGCCCCCUCCGCCUAUAAAAGGGGGCUCCAGAUACGUUAUUCUAUAAGCUCUCAUCUUUUAUCUAAAAACUCUGCUAAAUUCUUCGUUCGAGCACUCCAUUCUUGUUGAGGCAGAGAACUG